rnacentral:rRNA from 1 species
GAUGAACGCUGGCGGCGUGCCUAAUACAUGCAAGUCGAGCGAACGGACGAGAAGCUUGCUUCUCUGAUGUUAGCGGCGGACGGGUGAGUAACACGUGGAUAACCUACCUAUAAGACUGGGAUAACUUCGGGAAACCGGAGCUAAUACCGGAUAAUAUUUUGAACCGCAUGGUUCAAAAGUGAAAGACGGUCUUGCUGUCACUUAUAGAUGGAUCCGCGCUGCAUUAGCUAGUUGGUAAGGUAACGGCUUACCAAGGCAACGAUGCAUAGCCGACCUGAGAGGGUGAUCGGCCACACUGGAACUGAGACACGGUCCAGACUCCUACGGGAGGCAGCAGUAGGGAAUCUUCCGCAAUGGGCGAAAGCCUGACGGAGCAACGCCGCGUGAGUGAUGAAGGUCUUCGGAUCGUAAAACCCUGUUAUUAGGGAAGAACAUAUGUGUAAGUAACUGUGCACAUCUUGACGGUACCUAAUCAGAAAGCCACGGCUAACUACGU